rnacentral:rRNA from 1 species
CCUACGGGAGGCAGCAGUGAGGAAUAUUGGUCAAUGGACGCAAGUCUGAACCAGCCAUGCCGCGUGCAGGAAGACGGCUCUAUGAGUUGUAAACUGCUUUUGUACGGAGGUAAACGCAGAUACGCGUAACUUUCUGAAAGUAUCGUACGAAUAAGGAUCGGCUAACUCCGUGCCAGCCGCCGCGGUAAUACGGAGGAGUCAAGCGUUAUCCGGAUUUAUUGGGUUUAACGGGUGCGUAGGCGGUCGGAUAAGUUAGAGGUGAAAUCCCGAGGCUCAACUUCGGAAUUGCCUCUGAUACUGGUCGGCUAGAGAGUAGUUGAGGGAGGCGGAAUGUAGGGUGUAGCGGUGAAAUGCUUAGAGAUCAUACAGAACACCGAUUGCGAAGGCAGCUUACCAAGCUACUUCUGACGUUGAGGCACGAAAGCGUGGGGAGCAAACAGGAUCAGAUACCCCGGUAGUC